ensembl:snRNA U2 U2 spliceosomal RNA
AUCGCUUCUCGGCCUUUUUGCUAAGAUCAGGUGUAGUAUCUGUUCUUAUCGCUUCUCGGCCUUUUGGCUAAGAUCAAGGGUGGAGACUGCGAUCGCUUCCUAAAUAGACCAAGGGCUUGUGCCGAUUUAUGGCCAAAUCCAUUUCUAUUUGGGAGGAAAUUGUACUGUUUUUUUGCAGGUAUUUCUUA